ACGACGCAGGAUGCAGCGGAAAGGAUCUGCCAGAGGCGAUGCGGAUACAGAGGAGAGGGAUCAACCGGAGUUGCGGGCGCAGAAUCCGGGUCUAGCCUAGGCGCAGCGGCGCUCGAUCCAUAGGAUGCGUUGCGGGAUACAGAGGAGCGGGCGGUUUGUGUCGAUCGAGUGAAGGCACGGGAUCCAGCCGAGGCGCUCGAGGGGAGGCCUGGAAGGAUGCUGCCCUUCCCUUUGCGCCCCGCUCACGGCCUCGCCGCCGCCGGCUACAUCUAGCCGUCUCAGAACUCCUCGCCCUCACGUCUUGCUUCAUAUCUUCCCAUCCCCAUCCCUUCUGCAGCCAUGUUCAUUCUAAGGAUGUGCUCGACGGCGUGUGUGCCAACACACGGUGAGGUCAGGCAGCUGGUAGAGUAUAUUGGUUAGUUGACAAAGACUGCAAGUGCAAGGGAACAUAUAGGUAAAUACCAACGAUUCUCUGUAGGUAAUUUUGCUUAAUUCUGGAUACUAAAUGGUUAGUGUUACGACAUGAUAUCUUCCAAACAAAAGAAUUGUGUUGUGGUGAAGUAAUCAUUAUUAGAAUUAAAACUGCAGAACUCGCAUAAUUUUUGUAUGUGAUUAUGGGCAAUGGAUUCAAUUGUUUUGGAACAAUUUGUAGAGUUUCUUGGACA